GUGAAAUUCAAGAUGGUGGAUAACGAUGUAAACAAACUGCAAAUGUAGAGCAAAAAUUGAAAAAAAGAUGAAGGUUGCCGUCUUAGGUUGUGGGAUUCUGGGGCCAAAAAUAGCAGGUGAGCUAGCCUACCAUGGUCAUCGAGUGAAGAUAUGGGACGUCAGCAUCCCAGCACUGAACGCUGUGUAUAACAUUAUAGAAGACGACAAGAAGCAACUAAGGGAGGAUGGACUUCUUUUCCAGAAGAACUUUGUGGGCCAGGUUAUGUGCAUGAGUCGUUUGGAAGAAACUGUAAAUGACGCUGACUUUAUUUUUGAGGCUGUGAAGGAGGAUAUGGAGAUCAAGAAAGAUCUUUUAGAGAGAGUGUCUCACCUAUGUCGAGGUGACACAGUGAUUGGCAGUUGCACACUGCGACUCAAGAUUGAUGAUGUCAUGGCCGGAGUAAUGAACAAGGAGGUGAGGAGGACUCUGAUUAGCACAUCCUCCAUUCAGGAAAAAUUCUUUCUUUCUCGUCAUUUUACAAAACAGUCUGGCAGAAGCCAUGAGAAUUCAAACUCUUUUACUGCUUUUCUCAUUUCUUAUAAUUUUGAUUAAAACAGAAAAUUUUGGAAUUACUGGUAUGGAAACUAUGUUUCCAUUCCUGGAAUGUCUUCAAGUAAAAGCAUGACUUUUUGUUUCACUUUUGGACUUGUUUUAUUGUAGAGAUCUCUUGGACUGAGAUUUCUCUAUCCAGUGUACUACAUUCCUGAGGUUGAAAUCAAUCCGGCCAGCUUUACUUCACAAAAAUCAAUGCAACGAGUUCGCUUGAUGUUAGAAAAGAUGGGGAAGACAUUGUUUUUUCGAUCUGGAAAUCAUCCUUUGAUUUUGUCUGAAGAACAGAGAGAAGAAAGGAAAGCUUUGAGGGCAGAGCAGCUCCUGAGUUCAUCCGGAAUUCCCUGCAUGUUUGAGAAGAAGAUCCCAGUGUUGUCCCACGAGGGUAAUACUGCCCCAGUGAAGGAGUCUCGGCGUGACCCAACGCCAGCUGACACAGAGUGUGGGAUCUGUAUGAACAGAGUGCGAGACUGUCUGCUGUGUCCCUGUCAUCACAUGAUCACCUGCUACGAGUGCUCCAAAAUGUUACAUAACCGACGGGACGGGUGUCCUAUCUGUAGAAAGGACAUCACAGGAGGUCAUUCGAGUUUACCAUUCCUAAUGCUGUGCCAUUCCAGCCAUAAUGCUAUGCUUGUAUUGGGAAUCCCAGAGAUUAAAUUUUUUAAUUUACUUUUUUUUUAAAUUUUAGUUUAUGAAAUACAUGUAAUGUUUUAUACAUUUAUUUUUAAUAUUUAGUGGGAGGGGAAAGGGAUAAAUGACCUGCAUGUUCGUUUAGGAGGGUUCAGGGGUCAGACAUAUAUUUUUAUAACACCAAAUUAUAUGUACCGGUACCAAUUAUAUAUAUUUGUCUAGUCUAAGGGGCAUUGUGACAGUUAGAUAAUUAGUGAAGUCUAGCUGUCUAUAUGUGUAUUUCUAUGACCUUUUACUGGCCUGACUACUGUUUAAAGGAAUUUAGAGGCAAAAUUAUAAAUAUUCUUGCUUUUAUUUCAGACACUUAUUAAUCAUUUAUUGGUUUUUUCUUAGUAUAGUAUACAUGUAAAUACUAUCUGUAUGUUGUCAUGAAAAAAACUAAAGACCCACCUGUACUGUGUCACAUGUAUAUUACGGCUGUUUUACAAAACUUUUGAUCCCAAUAUGGAGUCUUUCACAAGCGCUUUGUAUCUUAUUGUUGCAUUUAUUUAUUAAAUAUGUUUUUAUUUAAAAAUG
rnacentral:misc_RNA from 1 species